rnacentral:tRNA from 1 species
GCCCGGGUGGUGGAAGGCAGACACGGUGAGCUUAAAACUCGCUGACCUCUUGGUCGUCCCGGUUCGAGUCCGGGUCCGGGCA